rfam:Ixodes scapularis strain Wikel colony gcontig_1107728807718, whole genome shotgun sequence.
GCAGUCGUGGCCGAGUGGUUAAGGCGAUGGACUAGAAAUUCAUUGGGGUCUCCCCGCACAGGUUCGAAUCCUGUCGACUGCG